rnacentral:rRNA from 1 species
GACGAACGCUGGCGGCGGGCUUAACACAUGCAAGUCGAACGGAAAGGCCCUGCUUUUGUGGGGUGCUCGAGUGGCGAACGGGUGAGUAACACGUGAGUAACCUGCCCUUGACUUUGGGAUAACUUCAGGAAACUGGGGCUAAUACCGGAUAGGAGCUCCGGCUGCAUGGUGGGGGGUGGAAAGUGUCGGCGGGUGGGGCUGGACUCGCGGCUAAUCAGCGUGUUGGUGGGGUAGUGGCUUACCGAGGCGUUGACGGGUAGCCGGCAUGAGAGGGUGAACGGCCACAUUGGGACUGCGAUACGGCCCAGUCUCCUACGGGAGGCAGCAGGGGGGAAUAUUGCACAAUGGGCGGAAGCCUGAUGCAGCAACGCCGCGUGCGGGAUGACGGCCUUCGGGUUGUAAACCGCUUUCGCCUGUGACGAAGCGUGAGUGACGGUAAUGGGUAAAGAAGCACCGGCUAACUCCGUG